UGAGGAAUAUUGGUCAAUGGGCGAGAGCCUGAACCAGCCAAGUCGCGUGAAGGACGACGGUUCUAUGGAUUGUAAACUUCUUUUGUAGAGGAAUAACGGCAGCUACGCGUAGCUGAGAUGCAUGUACUCUACGAAUAAGUAUCGGCUAACUCCGUGCCAGCAGCCGCGGUAAUACGGAGGAUACGAGCGUUAUCCGGAAUUAUUGGGUUUAAAGGGUGCGUAGGUGGCGUAUUAAGUCAGUGGUGAAAAGCUGCAGCUCAACUGUAGUCUUGCCGUUGAAACUGAUAUGCUAGAGAGGAGACGAGGUAUGCGGAAUGUGUGGUGUAGCGGUGAAAUGCAUAGAUAUCACACAGAACGCCGAUUGCGAAGGCAGCGUACCAGGCUCCGUCUGACACUGAAGCACGAAAGCGUGGGGAUCAAACAGGAUUAGAUACCCUGGUAGUCCACGCAGUAAACGAUGAAUACUAGAUUUUUGCGAUAUAGUGUAAGAGUCUAAGCGAAAGCGAUAAGUAUUCCACCUGGGGAGUACGCCGGCAACGGUG
rnacentral:rRNA from 1 species